AAUUCGAUUUGUUUGAUCCUGGCUCAGGACGAACGCUGGCGGCGUGCUUAACACAUGCAAGUCAAGGAGAACGGAAUUUUUCGGAAUUCCUAGUAAACUGGCGCACGGGUGCGUAACGCGUAGGCAACCUGCCCCGGAGUGGGGAAUAACAUCGGGAAACCGGUGCUAAUACCGCAUGAUAUCUUAAAAACAUAUGUUUUUUUGAUCAAAGAUUUAUCGCUCUGGGAUGGGCCUGCGUCCUAUUAGCUUGUUGGUAGGGUAACGGCUUACCAAGGCUGCGAUGGGUAGCUGGUCUGAGAGGAUGAUCAGCCACACUGGCACUGACACACGGGCCAGACUCCUACGGGAGGCAGCAGUGAGGAAUAUUGGGCAAUGGGCGAAAGCCUGACCCAGCAACGCCGCGUGAGUGAUGAAGCUCUGAGGAGUGUAAAGCUCUGUUAGGAGGGAAGAACAUCCGCCUUUGGCGGACUGACGGUACCUCCAGAGAAAGCUCCGGCUAACUCCGUGCCAGCAGCCGCGGUAACACGGGGGGAGCAAGCGUUGUCCGGAUUUACUGGGCGUAAAGAGCGUGUAGGUGGGACGAUUAGUCAAUGGUGAAAUCUCUCGGCUUAACUGAGAACCUGCCACUGAAACUGUCGUUCUUGAGUACGGAAGAGGGAAGUGGAAUUCCUGGUGUAGCGGUGAAAUGCGUAGAUAUCAGGAAGAACACCAGUAGCGAAGGCGACUUCCUGGUCCGUAACUGACACUGAGACGCGAAAGCGUGGGGAGCAAACAGGAUUAGAUACCCUGGUAGUCCACGCCGUAAACGUUGGGCACUAGGUGUUGGAGGUUUCGACCCCUUCAGUGCCGAAGCUAACGCAUUAAGUGCCCCGCCUGGGGAGUACGGUCGCAAGACUGAAACUCAAAGGAAUUGACGGGGGCCCGCACAAGCGGUGGAGCAUGUGGUUUAAUUCGAUGCAACGCGAAGAACCUUACCUGGGCUUGAACUGCAGUGGACAGUCCGUGAAAGCGGAUCUUCCUUCGGGACUGCUGUAGAGGUGCUGCAUGGCUGUCGUCAGCUCGUGUCGUGAGAUGUUGGGUUAAGUCCCGCAACGAGCGCAACCCUUGUCCUUAGUUGCCAUCAGAUUAUGCUGGGCACUCUAAGGAGACUGCCCGGGAUGACCGGGAGGAAGGUGGGGAUGACGUCAAGUCCUCAUGGCCCUUACGUCCAGGGCUACACACGUGCUACAAUGGCCGGUACAAUAGGAUGCAAUACCGCGAGGUGGAGCUAAUCCCCAAAACCGGUCUCAGUUCGGAUUAGAGUCUGCAACUCGACUCUAUGAAGUAGGAAUCGCUAGUAAUCACGAAUCAGCAGGUCGUGGUGAAUACGUUCCCGGGCCUUGUACACACCGCCCGUCACGCCAUGAAAGUCGGGAGUACCAGAAGCCAGUGGCCCAAUCCGCUUCGGCGGAAGGGAGCUGUCAAAGGUAAGAUCGAUGAUUGGGGCGAAGUCGUAACAAGGUAGCCGAAUCACUAGUGAA
rnacentral:rRNA from 1 species